UAAGUACCCCGAGGAAAAGAAAUCAACCGAGAUUCCCCCAGUAGCGGCGAGCGAACGGGGAGGAGCCCAGAGCCUGAAUCAGUGUGUGUGUUAGUGGAAGCGUCUGGAAAGACGCGCGAUACAGGGUGACAGCCCCGUACACAAAAAUGCACAUACUGUGAGCUCGAUGAGUAGGGCGGGACACGUGGUAUCCUGUCUGAAUAUGGGGGGACCAUCCUCCAAGGCUAAAUACUCCUGACUGACCGAUAGUGAACCAGUACCGUGAGGGAAAGGCGAAAAGAACCCCGGCGAGGGGAGUGAAAAAGAACCUGAAACCGUGUACGUACAAGCAGUGGGAGCCUCUUAAUGGGGUGACUGCGUACCUUUUGUAUAAUGGGUCAGCGACUUAUAUUCUGUAGCAAGGUUAACCGAAUAGGGGAGCCGAAGGGAAACCGAGUCUUAACUGGGCGUUAAGUUGCAGGGUAUAGACCCGAAACCCGGUGAUCUAGCCAUGGGCAGGUUGAAGGUUGGGUAACACUAACUGGAGGACCGAACCGACUAAUGUUGAAAAAUUAGCGGAUGACUUGUGGCUGGGGGUGAAAGGCCAAUCAAACCGGGAGAUAGCUGGUUCUCCCCGAAAGCUAUUUAGGUAGCGCCUCGUGAAUUCAUCUCCGGGGGUAGAGCACUGUUUCGGCAAGGGGGUCAUCCCGACUUACCAACCCGAUGCAAACUGCGAAUACCGGAGAAUGUUAUCACGGGAGACACACGGCGGGUGCUAACGUCCGUCGUGAAGAGGGAAACAACCCAGACCGCCAGCUAAGGUCCCAAAGUCAUGGUUAAGUGGGAAACGAUGUGGGAAGGCCCAGACAGCCAGGAUGUUGGCUUAGAAGCAGCCAUCAUUUAAAGAAAGCGUAAUAGCUCACUGGUCGAGUCGGCCUGCGCGGAAGAUGUAACGGGGCUAAACCAUGCACCGAAGCUGCGGCAGCGACACUAUGUGUUGUUGGGUAGGGGAGCGUUCUGUAAGCCUGUGAAGGUGGCCUGUGAGGGUUGCUGGAGGUAUCAGAAGUGCGAAUGCUGACAUAAGUAACGAUAAAGCGGGUGAAAAGCCCGCUCGCCGGAAGACCAAGGGUUCCUGUCCAACGUUAAUCGGGGCAGGGUGAGUCGACCCCUAAGGCGAGGCCGAAAGGCGUAGUCGAUGGGAAACAGGUUAAUAUUCCUGUACUUGGUGUUACUGCGAAGGGGGGACGGAGAAGGCUAUGUUGGCCGGGCGACGGUUGUCCCGGUUUAAGCGUGUAGGCUGGUUUUCCAGGCAAAUCCGGAAAAUCAAGGCUGAGGCGUGAUGACGAGGCACUACGGUGCUGAAGCAACAAAUGCCCUGCUUCCAGGAAAAGCCUCUAAGCAUCAGGUAACAUUAAAUCGUACCCCAAACCGACACAGGUGGUCAGGUAGAGAAUACCAAGGCGCUUGAGAGAACUCGGGUGAAGGAACUAGGCAAAAUGGUGCCGUAACUUCGGGAGAAGGCACGCUGAUAUGUAGGUGAAGCGACUUGCUCGUGGAGCUGAAAUCAGUCGAAGAUACCAGCUGGCUGCAACUGUUUAUUAAAAACACAGCACUGUGCAAACACGAAAGUGGACGUAUACGGUGUGACGCCUGCCCGGUGCCGGAAGGUUAAUUGAUGGGGUUAGCGGCAACGCGAAGCUCUUGAUCGAAGCCCCGGUAAACGGCGGCCGUAACUAUAACGGUCCUAAGGUAGCGAAAUUCCUUGUCGGGUAAGUUCCGACCUGCACGAAUGGCGUAAUGAUGGCCAGGCUGUCUCCACCCGAGACUCAGUGAAAUUGAACUCGCUGUGAAGAUGCAGUGUACCCGCGGCAAGACGGAAAGACCCCGUGAACCUUUACUAUAGCUUGACACUGAACAUUGAGCCUUGAUGUGUAGGAUAGGUGGGAGGCUUUGAAGUGUGGACGCCAGUCUGCAUGGAGCCGACCUUGAAAUACCACCCUUUAAUGUUUGAUGUUCUAACGUGGGCCCCUUACCGGGGUUGCGGACAGUGUCUGGUGGGUAGUUUGACUGGGGCGGUCUCCUCCUAAAGAGUAACGGAGGAGCACGAAGGUUGGCUAAUCCUGGUCGGACAUCAGGAGGUUAGUGCAAUGGCAUAAGCCAGCUUGACUGCGAGCGUGACGGCGCGAGCAGGUGCGAAAGCAGGUCAUAGUGAUCCGGUGGUUCUGAAUGGAAGGGCCAUCGCUCAACGGAUAAAAGGUACUCCGGGGAUAACAGGCUGAUACCGCCCAAGAGUUCAUAUCGACGGCGGUGUUUGGCACCUCGAUGUCGGCUCAUCACAUCCUGGGGCUGAAGUAGGUCCCAAGGGUAUGGCUGUUCGCCAUUUAAAGUGGUACGCGAGCUGGGUUUAGAACGUCGUGAGACAGUUCGGUCCCUAUCUGCCGUGGGCGCUGGAGAACUGAGGGGGGCUGCUCCUAGUACGAGAGGACCGGAGUGGACGCAUCACUGGUGUUCGGGUUGUCAUGCCAAUGGCACUGCCCGGUAGCUAAAUGCGGAAGAGAUAAGUGCUGAAAGCAUCUAAGCACGAAACUUGCCCCGAGAUGAGUUCUCCCUGACCCUUUAAGGGUCCUGAAGGAACGUUGAAGACGACGACGUUGAUAGGCCGGGUGUGUAAGCGCAGCGAUGCGUUGAGCUAACCGGUACUAAUGAACCGUGAGGCUUAACCUUACAACGCCGAAG
rnacentral:rRNA from 1 species